rnacentral:rRNA from 1 species
ACGCUGGCGGCAGGCUUACACAUGCAAGUCGAACGGUAGCAGGAGAAAGCUUGCUUUCUUGCUGACGAGUGGCGGACGGGUGAGUAAUGCUUGGGAAUCUGGCUUAUGGAGGGGGAUAACGACGGGAAACUGUCGCUAAUACCGCGUAUUAUCGGAAGAUGAAAGUGCGGGACUGAGAGGCCGCAUGCCAUAGGAUGAGCCCAAGUGGGAUUAGGUAGUUGGUGGGGUAAAGGCCUACCAAGCCUGCGAUCUCUAGCUGGUCUGAGAGGAUGGCCAGCCACACUGGAACUGAGACACGGUCCAGACUCCUACGGGAAGCAGCAGUGGGGAAUAUUGCGCAAUGGGGGGAACCCUGACGCAGCCAUGCCGUGUGAAUGAAGAAGGCCUUCGGGUUGUAAAGUUCUUUCGGUAUUGAGGAAGGUUGAUGUGUUAAUAGCACAUCAAAUUGACGUUAAAUACAGAAGAAGCACCGGCUAACUCCGUGCCAGCAGCCGCGGUAAUACGGAGGGUGCGAGCGUUAAUCGGAAUAACUGGGCGUAAAGGGCACGCAGGCGGUUACUUAAGUGAGGUGUGAAAGCCCUGGGCUUAACCUAGGAAUUGCAUUUCAGACUGGGUAACUAGAGUACUUUAGGGAGGGGUAGAAUUCCACGUGUAGCGGUGAAAUGCGUAGAGAUGUGGAGGAAUACCGAAGGCGAAGGCAGCCCCUUGGGAAUGUACUGACGCUCAUGUGCGAAAGCGUGGGGAGCAAACAGGAUUAGAUACCCUGGUAGUCCACGCUGUAAACGCUGUCGAUUUGGGGGUUGGGGUUUAACUUUGGCGCCCGUAGCUAACGUGAUAAAUCGACCGCCUGGGGAGUACGGCCGCAAGGUUAAAACUCAAAUGAAUUGGACGGGGGCCCGCACAA